UGUGUGUGAGAGAGAGAGAGGCAGAGAGAGCAAACAGACUUUUGGGAUUUGGGUCUACAGGGUGCUAUGCCGCACUCUGACAAGAGGGCUGCACGCCUUCCAGGCCUCAUAAUCCUUCACUAAAGUGAUGAGAACUUCUGGAGUCCAGGAAAUGGACUCCACACUAAAAGAGACAGAAUGGAGAACAGGGAGCUUGGUGGGCACCCCCUCCCUGUUGCAUAUCAGCAUCACUUUCAGCCUGUGUGUAUAGUUGCUCACAAGCCCAUGUUUCCUCCCAAGCCCCAAACAGCGUAUGUCGUUCAUUACCUACUCGACACACGGCCACAUCAACAUGAAGCUGACCUCGGACAGAGAACAAAUAAGCAAUUCUGUUAUUGAAUUGCUCAAUGUACUACCUACAGGAGCCAUAAAUAAGCAGCACUGAUUGGAAAAGGCAAAUAAGCAGAUAGAAAGAACACGUGCUGCAGGUAAGUGAGCUGCUUCCUGCCUUCUUGGCGAUGGUGUCCGGGGAAAGAGCCAGGCCUGGGCCUCAGUGAGGUUGGUGCAGACCAUGCCAGGCCACGUCCAAGCACUGACUCCUGGAGCCAGCUGCUUGCCCUCUCUGAGCGGCAGCCUCCUGCUUCUAGCAGUGGGGAUGAAAACCAC